AGACAAUAGAGUGAGUGAUACAGAAUAGCCUCAAGCCCUUGGAUGUGCUAAAAUUUAUCUGUAUGUUCCCCUUUAUUAUCUAUACAAUUUCAAAAAACUUUUCUUAUGUAAUUUUUGAACCACAUGAAAAUAGUAUAAUAAAAAUUCCUAUAUACCCAUUACCUAGCUUGAACAGUUACCAACAAAUGACCAGUCAGUUUCACCUCUAAUUAUUCCCCUCCCCCUCUAGGUGAUUUUAAAGUAAAUCCUAGGGAUCAUAUGUUAUCCAGAAAUAAGUAAGUAUAUGUGUCUCUUAGAGUCACAGGUUUAUUUUACACAUAAUUACACUACCAUUAUUACAUCUAAGAAAUUAAUGAUAAAUUUUUAAUAUCUAAUAAACAGGGUUUUUUUUUUUUUUUAAGAUUUAUUAAUUUGACAGCACAAGUAGGCGAGGGGCAGGCAGAGGAAGAAGGAGAAGCAGGUUCCCCACUGAGCAGAGAACCGGAUGCGGGGCUCGAUCCCAGGACCCUGGGAUCAUGACCUGAGGUGAAGGCAGAUGCUUAACCGAGUGAGCCACCCGGGAGUCCCUAAUAAGCAGUUUUCUGCACAAUGUGUAAUAUUUCCCUCUGUUCUGGGCCACCUCUUAAAUGUUAUGGUGAUGAUUGGAAAGUCAUUUAAGUAGGCCAAAUUUUCUUGCUGCUCCCAGAGAAAUUGCCACACAAUGAUAGUCCAGAGUAUCAUCCACCAGACUAGUCAGCAUAACUAGCUAGAGCAUCAGGUUGUGGCUGGAUUGGUGUUUCCUCAAGACCACUCAAAUGGUUGAGAGACAGACUUAUCCAGAGCACAUUCAGAUGAGCAGAGAGAUGAUUCUUGUAUUGAAGGACAGUGGCCCUGGGGAGGGAUCUUCUGAAAUAUCUGCCUAUGAGGAGGAAGGGCUCUAAGCAGAGGACCCUCAUGCAUGCCCAGGGACUUUGAGGAACUGUGGAAGCUUAUGUCAUGUGUUGGCUAUAAGAAAGAACUUCAACAUGGUGAAAAUUUCAAAUAAAACAGGAAGUCGAGUGAAAAGAUGUAGGGAACUUACUCAGAUCCCAGAUGCCCAGUUCUGCCCAGAGGCUGCCACCAUUAGCAGUUUUCCGGGCAUUCCCCUGCAGAGACUGCCCAUAUAUCUACAAGUAUUUACAAAUAUGUACAUUAUAUGUAUUCGAUUUGGUAAAGAUUUGAUAGGGCUCUCCUGUUUCCUCUCUGAUCUACCACUUCUUGUUUGCUCCCACAGUUCCUGCCAUGCUGGCCUUUCAAGGUGACAGGAACUGGGUGAGCAAAUGAAGCGUCGACAUGCAUCAGGCUGUCUGCAACCUGGAGACCUUUGCAUUUGCUCUUCGCCCUGCCUGGAAUGCCUUUCCACCAGAGACCCACUUGGCUCUCUCUUUAGGUCUUCCUCAAAUAUAACUCAGGCCUUCCCUGACCCCUCGACCUACCAUCUCAGCUCCCAUACACACGUUUGCCGCCCUUCACUCCUUUUGUUUCUUAAGUACUUGACCACUAAUAUGCCCUGUAUUUUACUUAAUUCACUCUUGAUCAUUGCCCCGACACACACCAGAAGGUAAUUUCUAUGACGGCAGAGAUUUUUAAAAAUGCACAUUCCCUCUUAAACAUUUUAUUACAGAAAAUCUCAAGCGUUCAGAAAAAGUGGACAAUGAGUACAAUUGCUGUUAGCCCACCACCUCGGUUUAACAAUUGUUAAUAUUGUGUCAUAUUUACUUGGUGUGUACACGUGUUUUUUACUAAACCAUUUAAAAGUACAGUUGGCCCUUGAGCAAAGUGAGAGUUAGGGGCACCAACCAUCCAUAAAUUUAAAAAAAAUCCGCAUAUAACUUGGCUCCCCACAAACUUAACCACUAGUAGCUUCUACUGCUGAGUGGAAGCCUUACUGAUAACAGUUGAUUAACAGUCGGUUAUUUUCGGGCGCCUGGGUGGCUCAGUUGGUUAAGCGACUGCCUUCGGCUCAGGUCAUGAUCCUGGAGUCCCUGGAUCAAGUCCCGCAUCGGGCUCCCUGCUCGGCAGGGAGUCUGCUUCUCCCUCUGACCCUCCCCCCUCUCAUGUGCUCUCUCUCAAAUAAAUAAAUAAAAUCUUUAAAAAAAAAAAAAAAACGGUUAUUUUCUAUGUUAUAUGUAUUAUAUACUAUUCUUAUAAUAAGGUAAGCUAGAGAAAAGAAAAUGUUAUUAAGAAAAUCAUAAGAGAAAAUACAUUUAUAGCACUGCAUGUGUGUGUAUUGGGAAACAUCUGUGGGUAAGUGGACCCAUGCAAUUCAAACAUGUCUCGUUCAAGAGUCAACUGUAGUUUCCAGACAUCUUGACACUUCACUCCUAAAUACUUAAGUCUGUAUCUCUGAAAAAUGACGUGUUCCUUCAUACCAUUAUCACUUCUAAGAAAGACUAACAUUAAUUCCCUAAUGUCUGAUACUCAGAUUUCCCAAAUUGUGCCCCAAAAGUCUUCUAUACUGUUGGCUGUGUUCUGUACCAAGAUCCAAUCAAGGUUCAAGUUCUGCGUUGGUUUUUUAGGUCUCUAGUGUUUUUUAAAUUCUACAGUAGCCUCCCUGCUCCACCCCACCUGCUCUUAGAAGAUGGGUUUUUUUAAGAGGCCAGGCCAACUGUCCUGUAGUGUCCCGCACUCCAGAUUUGCCUAAUUGCUUUCUCACGGUGUCAUUUAGGUGCUUCUGCCAUCUUCUAUAGUGUGUGUGUGUGUGUGUGUGUUUUAAGAUUUUAUUUAUUUAUUUACUUGAGAGAGCAAGAAUGAGUGCACAGCAGGGGUAGCGGCAGGCAGAGGGAGAAGCAGGCUCCCCGCUGAGCAGGGAGCCUGAUGUGGGACUCGAUCCCAGGACUCCGGGAUCAUGACCUGAGCCGAAGGCAGACACUUAACCAACUAAGCCACCCAGGUGUCCCAAUCUGUAGUUCUUAAAAACUGGAAGUUUGCUCUAAAGGCCUGAUUAGGUACAGGUUAAGUACUUUUUACAAGAAUCCUUCUUGUGUAUCUUCCUUAUUGCUUCCUGUCAGGAGGUACAUGAUGCCUGGUUGCCCCAAUAGUGAUGGCCAAGUCUGAUCCCUGGGGACGGUGAUGGCCACCAGCUAUCUCCUCCAGAAAGAUGUUUUCCCUUUUCGUCAUUGGCAAGUGACCUGUCGGGGGGGGCUCUAGGAUGAAUGGUUCUGCCAUGGCACCGUGACAGCCUUACACAUCUCCCCAUAAGCCACGUAGGGAAAACUUAGCUGUGGUCUGGCCUGAACUUUGGCAGAAGGCCUGGGGUUUCCUCCUGCAACGAAGGGAGAUGGGCGGUCUUGUAAAGAGCCGCUGUGAGGCAGUUUCUCAUCCACCUCUGUCUCUUGCAGGAGACUGCUACAAGACCAGUUCUCAUCUACCUCUCCUGUUUCAGUUGAGCACAGGACUUUCUUCCUCACUCCCCCUUAGGGUAUAGCUGCAGGCUAUAAAACUACUCUGAAGCUACCGUGCUGAGCACCUUACCUGCCUAUUCUCUGGCCUUCUAACAACUCAAGCCAUAGAUUUUGUUAUGACCCCUGUUUUAUGAGUGAGGACACCGCCACUUGCAGCCAUCUGCUGUUUUGUGGGGGUGUGGGUGUCCUUUUAGUGCAUCUGUAUCAGGGUUCAGUGCAGAAAACGGAAACCUCCCAAGUCAUAGGAAGUAGAGACUUAAUAGGAGGAAUUUGGAUCUAGUGAAGUUGGACCUAGUAUCACAUCUGUAUUUCGUUAUAUUCAACGUGAGCCAACAUUUUACAGGCUUCAAUGUAGCUUUGCAAUAGGUUUUUACAUUACCUUGAAAAAAGUAUCUGGGGGUGCCUGGGUGGUUCAGUUGGUUAAAUGUCUGAUUCUGGGCUUUGGCUCAGGUUACAGUCUCAGCACAGAGUCUGCUUGAGAUUCUCUGCCUCUCCCUCGCCCCCUGCUCAUGUGCUCUCUCUCUCUCUCUCAGAUAAAUAAAUAAAAUCUUUUUUUUUUUUAAGAUUUUAUUCAUUUAUUUGACAGAGAGAGAGAACAAGUAGGCAGAGAGGCAGGCAGAGGGAGAGGGAGAAGCAGGCUUCCUGCUGAACAGGGAGCCCGAUGCGGGGCUCGAUCCCAGGACCCCGGGAUCAUGACCUGAGCCGAAGGCAGCGGCUUAACUGACUGAGCCACCCAGGCGCUCCAAUAAAUAAAAUCUUAAAAAAAGAAUCUGGUAUUCCAGUCACCUUGAGCAGGGCAAGCACUGUGGCGGGAGCAGGGGCGCGGGGCAGUGGGAGUGCAGACUGAAAAUGCAGACCCCUGGGGCAGUACUCAUCCUUCCGGCUCUGAUCCACUGUUGUACUGGGGGGUCUAAUCAGGCCUAUGUCUGCCUCCUUCUUGAGUAGGCCAGAGAUCCCAUCUAAACAGCCAUCCUGCAGCAGUUCCCCAUGCCAGGUGGCCUGACGCACGUUCCAGACUGGUGGUGGCUCCUGGGGCUGCCACAGCUGGUAUGGCUGGUUCAGGGGGGCUGGCAUUGGAACAGUGUUUGGCAGCUUGAUUAUUGGCUGUGCCAGGAGCCCGUCUCAAGCAGCAGCUCUCCUUUGCCAUUCUGGGCUUUGCCCUGUCUGAGGCCAUGGGGCUCUUCUGUUUGAUGGUCGCCUUUUUGAUCCUCUUCGCCGUGUGAGGCUGAAUGGGGGUCGCUGCGUAAUAUUCAAAUCCUGCUGCUUCGACUUAAGGCCAUACCUGGUGCUGGAGUGUGCCAAACUUUACAAUUAAACACGUCUCUCUAAACAAAACCCUGGUAUUCCAGCUAACGAAGAAGAAAAUAAAGAAUUAAAACAUAAGCAUUUUGCAACCCCUAAUGAAUCUAAAGGUGAUGUCAGUGGCGGCAAAUAUCACUAAAGAGAGACAGCUGAAUAGUAUGUGCCUCCAGACGGAAGUACUCAUAACCACUCAUGAAAAGUUUUGCCAAAAUAAACCUGAAUCUGAUCAGGCUUCUAGAUUCAACUUCUGAUUCACAGGAAUUAAUAGAGGACAGUGGAAUAUGUUAAAUUGCAUCAUAGGAAGCAAUUGGAAAAAACUAGAUUCUGGAAAACUCUACAAGAAAAAUGACCCAUUUUCUUCAAUAAAUGCACUCUAAAUGCAGGAAAAAAGGAGGGAGGGUAUUAGGGGAAGACCAUAUAGAUUAAAAGAGAUUUAAGAGGUAUAUAUUUGGGGGUUGCCUGGGUGGCUCAGUCAGUUAAAUGUCUGCCUUCAGUUCAGGUCAUGAUUCCAGGGUCCUAGGAUUGAGCCCUGUAUUGGGCUCCCUGCUCCAUGCGGAGCCUGCUUCUCUCUCCCCCUGCUCAUGCUCUCUCCCAAAUAAAUAAAAUCUUUUAA